rnacentral:misc_RNA from 1 species
CGUCUUUCCUGUCAUACAGGCAGCAACGCCCCCAAAUGAUGCAUCCGAGCGCAGAAGUAAGUCCAGAGGAGGAGCAAGCGCCUCCCCCCGCGCCGGACGGAGGCCUGGGGAGCGCCGGGCCGGAGCGGGCGGACGAGGAGGCAGACGAGGCGGACGAAGCGGACGACGAGGAGGCGGACGAGGCGGACGAGGCGGACGAGGCGGAGAGCGUGCCCCCGAGAGCCACGGCGAGCAAGAGCAAUAACAUGAGCGCGUCUCCCUUGGCCACGGCCGAGGAGAGCUCAGUGGACGACUAUGCAGAGCUAACAGAUGCCCUUGCAAUAGAUUGUGAAAUGGUGGGUGCUGGACAGAGAGGCAGAAUAUCUAUGCUAGCAAGAGUUUCUGUUGUAAAUGAAUAUGGCAUAGUACUUCUGGACAAGUAUAUUAAGCCCUGGAAGAAGGUUGUCGACUACAGGACAAAAUAUUCAGGGAUUCGAGAAGCUGACUUAAAAUAUGGGGAAGAUUUUGGCCAUGUCAGGAAGCAGGUGCUAGAGAUGCUUAAGGGGAGAGUAUUGGUAGGCCAUGCAUUGAAACAUGACCUUCAGGCACUUUCCAUUACUCAUCCAAGAGCACUUACCAGAGACACAUCAGUGUAUAAAGUUUUCCGUAACAAGUUUGAAGGUAAGACUCCGUCCUUAAAGAAUCUGAGCAUGAAGUUUUUGGGUAUGAAGAUCCAGGAAGGGGAGCAUAACUCAGUUGAAGAUGCACAAGCAACAAUGAGUCUGUACAUGCUUUGUCGAAAGCAGUGGGGUCCUAAACAGAAGAAGAAGAACAAUGCUGUUAAAGAAUAUUAUAAGUAUGAACCAAGAAAAGAAAGCAAAAGAACCAACGUCACGUCAACUUCAUACUUAGGCCAAGUCAACAAAUUAUCAAAGCUCCCAUCAUUUGAAACCAUGUAAAAACCAGGCAAAAGCAUCUGCCGAAGAACUGGAUCCAGCAUGCUGACCUUAAAUCAGUACAAGAUGCACAAGUGGUAAUGCUAGGUUAAGAAUGUAACCAUCAACAGUGAAGGAACAAUGUAACAAAAUAAAAAGAAAAUGAGGUUAAAAAAAACAAAAAAGACAAAAGAAGGAAAAGAAAUGCAGAAACCAAGAUGGCAAUACCAAAUAAGGAGCUUUCUUUCUUUCUUUUUAUAAGUAAAAUUUGUAUUUGUUUUUGUAUCUAAUAUUUUUUUGUUAACAUUACAAGGUUUAGAGAUGACUGCUUUAUGAUUUUAUUGUGUAAUUAAAGUUAUUGUUUUCAGUUCAGUUACUUUACCAGAUACUGCUAUGUUUGUGUUCUCACAAAAGAAAAUAAUCAGGUAGACUGAAAAGAAUGAGAUUUAUAAGGAUAUAUAUUAUAAACAUUUCUUUGUCACAUUUGUUAAUUAAAAAUAGUUAACAUUGGUCAA